ACGAAUUUAUAGUUUGGUAAAGUAGAAGAAAUUAACUUUUGGCUUGCUGAACUUGGUGUUUCUUUUUGCAGCAUAAUGAUUUCAGAAGUACGGUCUAAUGGAAGGGUGGAGGAAGAUUUUUGAAAUGGCAAAGUCGUCAGCAAGGACAUGAGACAAGAGGUCUGACCGAACUACGUCAGUCAACUACGUCAGGUGCACCUUGACCUUCUGCCUGAGCAGAUGAACUAGCCACUGCCCUGGAUGUUGUGUCGUCCUCCAGUCCAGCUCUGCUGCUUCUGACCAAACACCUCAAACCAAGACUGAUUGCUCUAUUAUUGUGAUCGGUCAAUACAAUAUUGGUAUAUAUGUCUUGUAUAGUGCCCUUUUGCAUUAGUUUUCUUAUAUUUGCGGAGUGUGCAAAUGAGUUUCUUCUUACCUUUACUCAUUAAUAAUAGUAGUGAGCGAUUCUCUGUGUUUUGAGUUAUCUAUUGGAUCAAUGUAUUUUCUGGAUUUAUGAUGUUCAUUUUCAAAGUGAUAUUUGUACUAUGUUCGAAUUUUGAUGCAAGUUUUAACAUGUCAAUGGGAUCAUUAUGGCUUGAUUUUUUCCACCAAAUUAUUAUAGAUGUAAUUACCUACA